rnacentral:antisense_RNA from 1 species
ACUCCUGGAGCGGGGGGAGACUAACCCCCUCUCCUGUGUCCACAACUAUAGUAAUACAAUCCUCAGUUCUGCUCUCCAAACUUCAAAUAAGGGGUCACAGCCAAGGGUCAAGACUUUAGGAAAAGCCCCGGAAAUACCCUGCACUCAAAAAGCAGUUUCAGAGUUUCACAUUUUCUUGAGAAUUAAACAAAUUAUCCUCCAAAUUCUGCUGCUUGUUUUGAAUUAUGGUUACACUGGCUAUGUUAUCCAACCCUUGAGUUGUUUUUCUUUUUUCUUUUUUUUUUUUCCUCGAGAGUGUCUUGCUCUGUCACCUAGGCUGGAAUGCAGUGGCAUGAUCUUGGCUCACUGCAACCUCCACCUCCUGGGUUCAAGUGGUUUUCAUGCCUCAGCUUCCCAAGUAGCUGGGAUUACAGGUGUGAGCCACUGUGCCCGGCCCUGUUACCUUUGAGUUUUUAUCUCCACAUACUUAUAUUAAACCGUGUAGUUCUUCUUCCCAUCUGACAUCUACAAUCUCUUCACUGGGUCUGUACUCCAUAGCUAUUUUACCACUUUCUGAAAUA